UACGUAGGGGGCAAGCGUUGUCCGGAAUCAUUAGGCGUAAAGAGCGUGUAGGCGGCCCGAUAAGUCCGCCGUGAAAGUCCAGGGCUCAACCCUGGAAUGCCGGUGGAAACUGUCGGGCUGGAGUCCGGAAGAGGCGAGUGGAAUUCCUGGUGUAGCGGUGAAAUGACGCAGAUAUCAGGAGGAACACCAAUGGCGAAGGCAGCUCGCUGGGACGGUACUGACGCUGAGACGCGAAAGCGUGGGGAGCAAACAGG
rnacentral:rRNA from 1 species